rnacentral:rRNA from 1 species
GAUGAACGCUGGCGGCGUGCCUAAUACAUGCAAGUCGAGCGAACAGAUAAGGAGCUUGCUCCUUUGACGUUAGCGGCGGACGGGUGAGUAACACGUGGGUAACCUACCUAUAAGACUGGAAUAACUCCGGGAAACCGGGGCUAAUGCCGGAUAAUAUUUAGAACCGCAUGGUUCUAAAGUGAAAGAUGGUUUUGCUCUCACUUAUAGAUGGACCCGCGCCGUAUUAGCUAGUUGGUAAGGUAACGGCUUACCAAGGCAACGAUACGUAGCCGACCUGAGAGGGUGAUCGGCCACACUGGAACUGAGACACGGUCCAGACUCCUACGGGAGGCAGCAGUAGGGAAUCUUCCGCAAUGGGCGAAAGCCUGACGGAGCAACGCCGCGUGAGUGAUGAAGGUCUUCGGAUCGUAAAACUCUGUUAUUAGGGAAGAACAAAUGUGUAAGUAACUGUGCACGUCUUGACGGUACCUAAUCAGAAAGCCACGGCUAACUACGUG